GUCAGUGUGGCCGAGUGGUUAAGGCGUCAGACUUGAAAUCUGUUGGGAAAUUCCCGCGUAGGUUCGAAUCCUGCCGCUGACG